AAACCAACAGGGAUUGCCUCAGUAACGGCGAGUGAAGCGGCAACAGCUCAAAUUUGAAAUCUGGCGUCCGCCCGAGUUGUAAUUUGUAGAGGAUGCUUCGGGGCCGCGGCCGAUCUAAGUCCUUUGGAACAGGGCGUCACAGAGGGUGAGAAUCCCGUAUGUGAUCGGCUGGCACCCCACACGUAGCUCCUUCGACGAGUCGAGUUGUUUGGGAAUGCAGCUCUAAAUGGGAGGUAAAUUUCUUCUAAAGCUAAAUACCGGCCAGAGACCGAUAGCGCACAAGUAGAGUGAUCGAAAGAUGAAAAGCACUUUGGAAAGAGAGUCAAACAGCACGUGAAAUUGUUGAAAGGGAAGCGCAUGCAACCAGACUUGUCGGCGGUGUUCCCCCGGGCUUCUGCCCGGGUCACUCGCCGCCGGCAGGCCAGCAUCGUUCGCGACCGCCGGAGAAAGGCGUAGGGAAUGUAGCUCCUCGGAGUGUUAUAGCCCUGCGCACAAUACGGUGCGUCGCGAGCGAGGUCCGCGCUUCGGCUAGGAUGCUGGCGUAAUGGUCGUAUGCGGC
rnacentral:rRNA from 1 species